rnacentral:tRNA from 1 species
AAAAAGAUAAGCUAAAAUUAAGCUUAUGGGCUCAUACCCCAUCUAUGAAGACUACUUCUCUUUUUA